CUUUCCCGAGGCCUCUGAUUGGUCAGCUUGCACAGAGCGGAGUCCGACGAGGGAAGAUGGCGGGCCGCAGGCUCGCGGGGACCCUCUGAUGGAGCAGUGGGUGCCUGUGACCCCUGAGACCCUCUCAGAGGCGCUGAUAUGUGCCGAAAUGCCCACUCCAAACCGGGCCCCGCACUGUCUGCAGCCACAGAAGAGGUGCCCACAAAAGUCAGAUGCUGGUAUCUGCUGUCACUGAAUCUGACACAGACAUUGAAGAAUCAAUAGGAGAUCAGCCCUGGACACGUGUUGAUAUUGGUUAAACAUGUCGACUGAUACUUCCAGAAAAGCCCUGCUUCAAAAG
rnacentral:lncRNA from 1 species